GCGGCUCACCUUCAGAAUCUCAUUGCUGAAAGACACACUUGUCUUCAGAGGAGUUGCGCAGGAAGCAGGCUCUGAGAUGGAGAUUUGUGUGCAGGGUGCUUUGGGGGUUUUACCCUUGGAAGCAACUUGUAGAGGAGAGGAGGAAGCCGGAUUGGAAAGAGGCAGGAGCUGAACUCUGAGGCAGUUUCAACAACAGCCUCAGCCGACCCCAAGGGGAGCUCUGGAGUGGGCUGGCCCUUCAAAGAUGCCCCACCCUGAAGCAAGGGUGCCUGGCCUCUCCACCCCACCCUGAGGAGUCACUGGAGGAUGUGUUCACCUGGGAGGGAGCAUGAUCUUGGGCGAGGUAUGCUGUCUUCAGCUGGGGGAAAUUUCAGAGGUUGUCAGCCACCGUCACCUCCCUCCUACAGGAGUGACCUCGGCAGCACACCAUGGCGUCCAAAACAGUACCUCUUGCAGACACCAAGAUGAAUACACAUAAGGCGUUUGAAGGACUCUGGGUCAUCCAUGAGAUGUAUUUGACUCCUUUCUGGUCCAGUUUUAGGCUAUAUCCAAUCUUACCCAAGUAUGACUUACAUGAGGCUGGGCAUGGAUUCCAGUAUUAUUCAUCAGAUAAAUGCCUUUCUAGAUUUUGCUGAGCUUUGAGACUAUAACCGCUUCUAGCACAUCCCACUAGAUGACCAUGCUGGUCAUACCACUCAAGAUACUCUGUGACAAGACGGAAGGAGAAUGGGAUGCAUAUGCAG
rnacentral:lncRNA from 1 species